AGGGGUGUGUGUCUCUGGUUCUUACCUUGGUAUAAAAAUCGUGGGACAGUGGGGGUUUCCUCUGAUUACGCUGCUUUUCCCUCACUCACAGUGUUCUCAUUCUAAUGUUCUUUCGACUAUUUUUGACACCCAUAUUGAAAAAAAAAUCAACGUACAAAUCACUGCUCAUAAGCGGUAUCAGAUGACCUUUUAUCAUUAAAAACCCUUUUUUACUUUACUUUAAGAAUUUGAUAUCUAAGUUGUUGUUUUUUUUUGGGGGGGGGGGGGGGGGGGUUUGUUAUUGUUUCUUUUUUGUAGUCAUUCCCUCAUCUUUUUUUUUCUGCGGAGGAAUUGCCUUUACCAACCUCUGGACGACAUAUCUGGAAAGUGACUGAGUGGAAUAUGGAAGCAAAAGGACAAGAAAGACAGAAAAGAGUAAGAAAUAAUUAAGUUUACUUUUUAAAAGCUCCCCCUUCAACUGUUCUUUUUUAUUUUUCUGUUUUUUUCCUCUUCCAAACAUUGCACCUCUGCGUUUCUGCAUUUCCUUCUUUCAGUUCUUUUUCCCUUCUUUUUUGUUUUCCCAUUUCCUUUUACUUUACCUUCCUGUCUUUCAUUUUCCUGCCUUUUCCUUUCUACCUUCCAAAUCCUUCCUUCAUUCUUCUCUAUUUCAUUUUACUCUUUACGUUAUUUUCCCUCAAUUCCUUGCGCACUGCCUCUCUUUACUCCCGCUCUUUCGCUCUCCCAACCCCUCCCUCUCCCUGUCCCUCUUCCCGAUUUGUCCUUCAGCUCUGUCAGCACUCACUAUCUCUCUCCAUCUCCUUCUCUGGUAGUCUGAUCAGCUGUCUUCCUUCUAACUUUACAUGGCCUGGUGUGGUGCGCAAGGACGGGCAGCUGCCGGCUGACGCAUUUCACUGCCCAGUCAUCACUUCAAAAUCGAAUCCUCUUACACAAACCUCUAUGGUUUUCUUUUAUGGCCACUAUUUUUACUCUCAAUUCUACAUGCAUGUCUUUUUUUUUAUUCUUGGUCUGCCUGUUUUUCCCCUCCUCCUUUUGCAUCCAGCAAUGAGAGAGAGAGAGAGAUAGUCACAAGUCCCAUGACCCCCUUCUUCUUUUCUCUCCUCUCCUUUCACUCCUUCUUUCCUUCUCCUCCUCCUCCUCCUCCUCCUCCCCUUUUCCUCUCCGCAUCCUUAAACUCUCCAUCGCUGAUUCAGCUCCCAGGGAGGCGAGACUCCGCCUGCAGCGACUGCUUCACUCCGCAUGGGCCACCAUCCCCAUCUGGAUCACCUUUACUACGGCAUCUUCACUUCUUCCUGUCACCUCUUCUGGACCAGAUUCUACCCUAAAAUGCUUUGCUAAAGCUGGUAAAAUGGAACCAAAUCAACUGUUCAAUGGAUUUGGUCCCCUUCAACCAGCUGUAGCUGUGCAUUGAUCACCCCAAUCCACAUUCAGAGUGACAAGAAAAAAACACCCCUGAAAGACUGGAGUUAAUUAAUCAGAAAACAGCUUUAAAUCUAAAACUGAGGUUAGAUUGGCUUCUUUAUUGGACUAAGAUACAAAGCCAUUCAUGGAUAAUACACAUGAUGCACCAGUUACUGCUUGGAUUUAUCUCAAUCAUUCAGUUUGCCCAAAAGACACUCAAGUAAUUUGCUUAAUCUGAGUAAAACAAGGCAGGUAAGUAAUUAUAGAUACUACAUCUUGUCAAAUUUGUGCUUUUUGAUGUGCGCUGCUGUAAUUGCGUUGUCCUUUGGAGACUUACUUUAUUGUUCUUUCCAGAUUUGUCAAAACGUGUGCUUCUUCUAAAGGGUGGCAUUGCUGAAAACUUUGAGAAAAGAUGCUGUGUACGAAAAGUACUGGUGGAAAUACAUGCAUGUACAGAUGUGUCAAUGACACCAAAGCAAAUGUCUAAUCAAUAAAGCCUAAUCCUAGUGUUUAUGUGAAAUGCCAAAUUGGUCUCUUCUUUCAACGUGUGGACUUUCCAGG
ensembl:lncRNA